UGCUCACUUCCGCAGUAAUAUACUAAAAUUGGAAUGAUACAGAGAUUAGAAUGGCCCCUUACGCAAAGAUGACAUGCAAAAUUGUGAAGCCAGGCAGGCUUCA
rnacentral:snRNA from 1 species